GUUUUCGUCAGUAACAGUGUUGAGAUGUCGGAAGAAGUCCAGCAACGAGCGCAACCUGUAAGUUUAGUUGCCAUCAUUAAGUUGGGCACUCUAAGUUGACUGUCGGUGACAAACCGGAGGAAGGUGGGGAGGACCUCAAAUCAUCAUGCCCUUUAUGAUCGGGUUACACACGUGGCACAAUAACAAUACAAAGGGCAGCGAAACCGCGAGGUCAAGCAAAUCCCAUAAAGUUGUUGUCAGUUCGGAUUGUAGUAUGCAACUCGAGGUAUGAAGUAGGAAUCGCUAGUAAUCGUAGAUCAGCAUGGUACGGUGAAUACGUUCCCGGGUCUUGUCCACACCGCUCGUCACUCCACGAGAGUUGUAACACCAGCAAGCCGUUGCGAGCUCGCUCGA
rnacentral:rRNA from 1 species